GGGGCCUGACCUGAAUGACGUCACCAACUUCGGGGCUUUCCCCGCCCUCCUGGGGGCGGCGACCAAUGAGGAAUCGUCGGAGCCGCCCAAGAAAAAACGGAAAAAAACGAAAAUGGGGAAGAAAAAAGGGAAGAGAGGUUUCCGACGCCGCCGUUGAUUUCUCCAA